UUGAAGUCUUUCAUUGAUCAUGGAAGACGACCCGGAGCCUGACAUAGCAUUUCAUAUCUUUCAAAAUUUUCAAUGUUUCUUAAAAAUGGAUGGUACAGGGAAAAAAAAGGCUGAACAAGCGUUCCAAUCUUGCUACAGCAUCAUUGGAGCUGUUAUUAGUUCUAGCCAUUGGAGUAAUUUGAGCCAAUGUCGAAAAAGACAUUGGAGCAAAAAGCCUCCAUAUUAUACGCUUCUUUGAAUGAUGAAGAGCCAUAGAACAAGGUUGGGUUGCCGAAGAGGUUGGAGCAAUACAAGUUGUGGGGUGUCCACGUCUGUAUGUUUCUAGCUUCAGUUGGCACAACAUAGUUUCUAUACAAGUUCAUCAAGAUUGUUUGGAUGAGUCCAAGCUCAGUUGCCUCAUCAAAACAGCAAUAUGAAAAGGAGUGUAGCCACAAUUAGGCAACAAGAAACCAUGCAUGAUCUGGCCGAAGGAUUUCAGCAUGGAUUUCUUUAGCCUAAGCUAAUCUUGCAAGGCGAGUUAUCAGGUCUUUUAAGGAAGUGGGUUGACAUCACUUUCAAAGAGACUUGAUAUGUUGCUGUUUGGGGAAAAUAGUUGAGCUUGGAGAUUCAUCCAACAACUCCGAUGGAUUUCUUAGGGACUGUGGAGUUAACUGAAGUGAGGGAUACUGAUGCAUGAUCCCGCAGCCUCUUGGCCUCUUGAUCUUUUACUACUUCAUCAUUUGAGAAGCGCUAGCCAUGGAAUCCUAUAAAACAGGCUUCUCAGUGGGUAUUGCAUGAUUCUCAAAAUUUGAUUGAAAUUUCUACCAUGAUUCAACAUGUCUAUCCAGCCAGUUUCGAAGGCUGAAAGCUUAUCUACGCCUAAGAUCUCUACGACUGAUCAAUUUCCUCCUAGCUUUUCACAACCAUGCAAUCAAGUUAAAUGGUCGGUUUAACUCUAUAGUGUACAUACCAAAGAAAAAUUCCAAUCCGUUGUAAAGGAAUACAUCAAAAAAUCAGAAUACACAAAUUUUGUUCAUCAGAGGUGGCAAGAAAAGAUGUCGGACCAUAUUAUACUAUCAAUGAAAAUUUUCUUAAAAAAAUUUCUUAUAGUGUUACUUUAAGGUUGUUGGGUUGCAUUAGAAUCAAAACUGUUUUUAAUUAAAGUUGUAAUCACCUGUUUAGUGGACUUCAAACAC